AAUCAACGCUGGCGGCGUGCCUCAGACAUGCAAGUCGAACGAUUAAGACUUCCUUCGGGAAGUGUAUAAAGUGGCGCACGGGUGAGUAACACGUAAGUAAUCUACCUUCGAGUGGGGAAUAACAUCGGGAAACCGAUGCUAAUACCGCAUAAUGCAGCGGCAUCGCAAGAUGACAGUUGUUAAAGGAGCAAUUCGCUUGAAGAGGAGCUUGCGGCAGAUUAGCUAGUUGGUAAGGUAAUGGCUUACCAAGGCUACGAUCUGUAUCCGGUCUAAGAGGACGGUCGGACACACUGACACUGAAUAACGGGUCAGACUCCUACGGGAGGCAGCAGUCGGGAAUUUUGGGCAAUGGGCGAAAGCCUGACCCAGCAACGCCGCGUGAGGGAUGGAGUAUUUCGGUAUGUAAACCUCGAAAGAAUGGGAAGAAUAAAUGACGGUACCAUUUAUAAGCUCCGGCUAACUACGUGCCAGCAGCCGCGGUAA
rnacentral:rRNA from 1 species